rnacentral:rRNA from 2 species
UACAGAGGCCUCAAGCGUUAGGCGGAAUCACUGGGCUUAAAGCGCGUGUAGGUGGACUUUUAAGUGCUUUGUGAAAUCCCACGGCUCAACCGUGGAACUGCUGGGCAUACUGGAAGUCUUGGGCCAUCUAGGGGCAACCGGAACAAGCGGUGGAGCGGUGAAAUGCGUAGAUAUCGCUUGGAACGCCAAAGGUGAAGACAGGUUGCUGGAGAUGUGCCGACACUGAGACGCGAAAGCCAGGGGAGCAAACGGG